rnacentral:rRNA from 1 species
UACGAAGGGGGCUAGCGUUGUUCGGAUUCAUUGGGCGUAAAGGGUGCGUAGGCGGCGCGGUAAGUCGGGUGUGAAAUCUCGGAGCUUAACUCCGAAACUGCAUUCGAUACUGCCGUGCUUGAGGACUGGAGAGGAGACUGGAAUUUACGGUGUAGCGGUGAAAUGCGUAGAUAUCGUAAGGAAGACCAGUGGCGAAGGCGGGUCUCUGGACAGUUCCUGACGCUGAGGCGCGAAAGCUAGGGGAGCGAACAGG